GCGAGGUGCGCCCGCCCUGGGCGGGAGCCCCGCGCAGCAGCGGCUCCUGACAGGAAAUGGCGGGGGGCGGCGGCGGGUUUCGUUGCUGUGGACGAAGCGACUCUGAAGGAAAACGAGGCCUGGGCCGGGCAGCAGCAGCACCUUCACUACGGCCCGGCACGGUGCUGAGUGCUGGGAAGCUGGCAGGAGAGCGGCCGGGGGAGGUCAGCCCUCGGUCAGAAGAGCAGGAUGGAGCUUUGCCAGCUCAGCGGUUUUUGUUCUCGGCCAGCAGAGAAAUGCACCUAGAACUUGUGCUGCGACAACAGUGAGGGAAAGAGCGAAGAAAGAAGCUAUUUACUGAUGUCUCCCAAUGGCAAUAUCACCUUCCUCAUCCAGGAUAUCCCUCACAAGAGAACAGUCUGAUCUAUGGCAGUUUGUCACCUUGGCAGUAUCAGAGGGCCACCAGGAUCUGAGUUUGUUUUGAAAAACCAAAGAGCAACACAAUACUGGAAGUACAAGACACUGCAAAUGCAUGAAGAACAACUUCAUCUGGCGGUCAGCUGAUGCCUUGAAGCAUGAGGUGUGAUAACUUUGAUGUUAGUGGAAUGACAGGUUACUCAUUGUCAUUAUGCUAGCUAACAGCACAGAGCAGAGAACGGUGGAAAAGCCUUUGGAAAGUAAGAAGUGUCUGCGAUCCAGCAGCUGCUGUGACUCACAGGGGGAUUUCACAUGGGAAUGACUGAAAGCAGACACAGAAGAAAGGCCUUCCAAAGCACUGGCUUGUUCAGAUAGUAUGAAAGAACAGAGAUAAAGAUAAAAACCCUUCCAUGAGGGCAGCAGAGCAACUGGGAAAGCAGCCCACGCCCUCAGGGUAUUGUAUGAAUGGAAAAGAAGUCGGCUCUGUAUUCAGAGCCAACGUGCUUUCCUCCAGCGCAUGAGCCACGGAUUGUAGUGUCAGAGCAGCAGCACUCAUUGUGCUGGGGAAGGCAGUGCCCCAAGAAGCAGCAAAGCACAUGCAUGGGAUGUGUGGAUGCUCCAAUGCACGACUU
rnacentral:lncRNA from 7 species